UCCUCGAUAGUCUAGUGGUGAGGAUGCGAGCUUGUCAUCUAUUGUGAUUCUCAGAUCUCAAGAAAUACGCUCGAGACCGGGGUUCAAUUCCCCGUCGAGGAG
rnacentral:tRNA from 1 species